rnacentral:piRNA from 1 species
UGUUUGAUUUGACAUUCAAUA